rnacentral:lncRNA from 1 species
UCUCUAAAAGGUACAAGACAUAAACUACUUUCAGCAAGUCCAAAUGAAGAGGUCAAGACCAAAUUUCCAAGCCGAAAGUUAUAAAUACAUCAUCUUGCCUAAGGAGAUUUUGAAGCAGAUCCCGUAGCAGCCAGACUUCUGAGUCUUUCAUGCUUUCCUGUGUGACACAGGGGACACCUGUGCUGUGAGGGAGGAGGACGAAUGAGUACGCCCACUCUUUGCAAGCUGGAAUCUCAAUGGACAAUCCUCAUAGCUGGUCAUACCAAGCCUGCAGCAAAUUUUUAGCUUUGCACAGCAAUGGGUUGUAGCCAGACAGUGUGAGCUGAACAUUCGCACUGCUCCUAAGGUUUAAUUUCAAGGUUAAAUUUUGAGUUCAGACCAGUUGUCAGCCUGCUGAUUUUUAACUUGAUUGGAGACGGACAUUUCUCAAGUUGCUGAAAAACCUCCAAUGAAAGCACUGAUACAAUUUAUCCAAACUAAAUUCAAUAGACAUAAGCCAACACAGUUGACAGACAGAACUAAAUAAAAUAUUUAGUAACAGCCCA